UUGCAGCCCGACUUGAGCGGAAAUCCUUUUUACGUAACGAAGUGAAGUGAAAAGAUUGACUUCGUCGAAUCUAAAGAUUUGGGAGCGGAAGGCAGAUAAAGC
rnacentral:misc_RNA from 1 species